GCCUAAGACAGCUCAACUGACCCUUUGAAGAAGGCACCAGGAACUGAGGUGAAAGGCAGAGCAAAGGAUGUGACAGAUUCUCUGAAAUCUGCUUGACCAGCCCAUUUACAUGGAGGAGAUUAAGAUUGUUCUAGAAGAACUACAAAAAGAAAACAUCAAAAUUUACCUCUGCACAUUCAAAAAGGCUAUUUCAUGGUUCAGGACCCAGUAAAGUCGGACCACUGACUCCCGGUUAAUAUAAAAGAAGGACAUUAAUAAAAGUUUGUCCCAUGGGUAUAGUUGACUUGAAGAAUGUAACAGCCUUUUUUUAUUUUUCUUCGCUGUAACCGUAAACUGAAUUCUUGUUAAUUUCCUGUCCCCUUUUCAGAAGCUUCAGCACAUUUUUGGGGGUAGUUUUGAGAAAGCACAGCUUGUAUCUUCCUCUGUUCCCACAAUGUCCAUAUAAACCACACUCUGGAGAUAAAUACCACCAAGACCUCUAUGCCUCCAAGAUAGGAAAUUGCCAGGGGUUGUGUGCAUGCCUGCCUCAUGUGACAAGCGAAGUGUGCCCUGGUCGCCCCUGUUUUCUUUCUGUCUCCUAGGUUAAAAAACAAAAUAAAUCAGAGCGCUUUGACUGCUCUGUGACUAGCCAGCUGCAGGCUUUUCCCAGCAGGCUUGGCCUUCAUCCAGGGCCUUGAACAUUCCCAGGCACUGAUAAAGACCGAUUAGACUGUUGCUCAAAACAUUAAAUGAAGCAGGUCCUGGCCCAGAGCCCACAUUCUUUAACCCCUCCUGGAAAGCUCACCCCCUGACCCCUGGCUGCAGACAUUCCUGGGUAGCAUCUCUCCCUCGUACUGUGUGUAUCAUGAGGCACAAUGCAGCAUGCCAGUGUCCUCCCACCAAGCCAGUCCCACUAAGAGAAGUUUCCACUUGACCACCCUGGAGGCUAGGGCUUCUCUCUUUGCAGACCCAGCUGGUCUCAUCUUCAGAUGGUGUGAGGAUGCUCUUGUGGCAAAAAGAAUAAGGACUGAACCGAAACAUUGCCAUAUGGAACCAGUUUGCGGAGGAAGACCAGAAGGCCUCCUCCCGUACCUGAGCGUAAUGGAGCAACGUGUCAACAUGGAGCGGACAUCAAAAACAAAGCAAAGAAACUCUUCUACCAAAUCUGGCUGACCGGACCGGUGGGUCUUCAGUGGCUCCCACCGCAGGCAGCAGCAGGUUCGAUGUUCUCAGUGUCUCUCUCUAAGUCCCUGGAAUGCAGUCACUGUCCCCUGGCAGACAGGAUUCCUGGACAAAAGAACUCAUUGUAGCUCAACACAGCAUCAAGACUUUGCUCAUGGUGUUCUUCAGGGUGGCCUGGAGAUUUGGGGCUGGAGGGAUUCUGGGGAGAUUUGUUCUCGCCCCUGAUUGCCUCACCCAAACCUCGGACUUGGCAAGAAGAAAGGACUCAAUCCAAGUAACUCCUUCAGCCCAUGGCCCCUCCUUGGAAAAGUUGAGUUCCAACUCAGCAGGAAGCCACCAAUGGCUUCUGGGUCUGUGUUUGGGCAUGAAGCAUGAAGCUGCGGUUCCCAGGGUCCAUGACCAAGUUCUCUUCCCUGGCCAGAACACAAGAUGCUUUCUCUUCGAUUUCCCUUCAGCACGGUGCUGGGAAUGUGAACACAACGAUUUUGUUUUGAAACGACAUUCUCUGAUUAUAGCUCAACAAUUUAAUUAUAGUUAUUAAAGAGCCACCCAGCUUAGUAGUUGUGGAAUAAAGGGGGCGGAGGCAAACCAACAGUUUUCGGAAUCAGCCUGAGCUUAUUUACAUAGUAAACAAAACCAUUGCUGAAUUCAGGCUGGUGAAAGAAGUUGUAUGGCUGGAAGUGUGACAUGUAGACAGGUGACCAAGUGACCUGCUCUGCCACAGUGAGGAGUUUUAACUACUUCUACACGUGUGCCUCUUCUUCUACAACUUACCAGCAUUAGA